rnacentral:rRNA from 1 species
CUAAAACCCCAUAAUUUAUUUUAAGACCUCAAAUCAGGUGGGACUACCCGC